rfam:Triticum aestivum genome assembly, contig: Triticum_aestivum_CS42_TGACv1_scaffold_030654_1BL
UUACCACUCCCCCCGUCCGGAAAUACUUGUCGGAGAAAUGGAUGUAUCCAGACGUAUUUUAGUUCUAGAUGCAUGUAUUUUUAUUCUUUUCUCCAACAAGUAUUUCCAGACGGAGGGACUAUAUG